rnacentral:rRNA from 1 species
AUACGGAGGGUGCGAGCGUUAAUCGGAAUUACUGGGCGUAAAGCGCGCGUAGGCGGUUCGAUAAGUCUGAUGUGAAAGCCCUGGGCUUAACCUGGGAAUGGCAUUGGAUACUGUUGAACUAGAGUGCAGGAGAGGAGAGUGGAAUUCUCGGUGUAGCGGUGAAAUGCGUAGAGAUCGGGAGGAACACCAGUGGCGAAGGCGGCUCUCUGGACUGACACUGACGCUGAGGUGCGAAAGCGCGGGUAGCAAACAGGAUUAGAAACCCCAGUAGUCC